rnacentral:rRNA from 1 species
CGUGUAGGCGGUUGGUUAAGUCGGAUGUGAAAGCCUGGGGCUCAGCCCCAGAAGUGCAUCCGAAACUAUCCGGCUAGAGCGCGAUAGAGGAGGGUGGAAUUCCUGGUGUAGCGGUGAAAUGCGUAGAUAUCAGGAGGAGCACCGGCGGCGAAGGCGGCCCUCUGGAUCGUUGCUGACGCUGAGACGCGAAAGCGUGGGGAGCAAACAGGAUUAGAUACCCUGGUAGUCCACGCCUUAAACGAUGGGUACUAGGUGUUCGGGGUGUUGACCCCCUGAGUGCCGCAGUUAACGCAUUAAGUACCCCGCCUGGGGACUACGGCCGCAAGGUUAAA